rnacentral:rRNA from 1 species
GACGAACGCUGGCGGCGUGCUUAACACAUGCAAGUCGAACGGAAAGGCCCCUUUGGGGGUACUUGAGUGGCGAACGGGUGAGUAACUCGUGCGUAACCUGCCCUUGACUUCGGGAUAACUUCCGGCAACUGGGGCUAAUACCGGAUAGGAAUCCUUGCUGCAUGGUGGGGGGUGGAAAGCUUCGGGGGUUUUGGAGGGACUCGCGGCUUAUCAGCUUGUUGGUGGGGUAGUGGCUUACCAAGGCUUUGAUGGGUAGCUGGCCAGGGAGGGCGACCGGCCACAUUGGGACUGGGAUACGGGCCAGACUCCCACGGGAGGCAGCAGUUGGGAAUAUUGCACAAAGGGCGGGAACCUGAUGCAACAACGCCGCGGGCGGGGUGACGGCCUUCGGGUUGGAAACCGCUUUCAGCAGGGGCGAAACUUGUGGUGACGGUACCUGCAGAAGAAGCACCGGCUAACUACGUG